rnacentral:rRNA from 1 species
UACGUAGGUGGCGAGCGUUGUCCGGAUUUAUUGGGCGUAAAGGGCGCGCAGGUGGUGCGGUAAGACUGCCGUGAAAUCUCCUGGCUCAACUGGGAGGGUGCGGUGGAGACUGCCGGACUAGAGGCACUCAGAGGCCGGUGGAAUUCCCGGUGUAGUGGUGAAACGCGUAGAGAUCGGGAGGAACACCAGUGGCGAAGGCGGCCGGCUGGGGGUGACCUGACGCUGAGGCGCGAAAGCGUGGGGAGCGAACCGG